CCUCUUUGCCUCGUUCCUCCCCGGGGGCGCGGGGCUAACCCGGCAGCGUGCCCGUGCUCCAGUUGAGCGGACUCUUGCUGAACUGGACCACGUGCGAUCGCUCGUGCUUUUGGAUGCAGAACGUGAAGCCGGUGGUGGGGCCUCCGCCCUUUCGACCGCCUUUUCGUGCCCCUCGUGCUCGAUAAGAUUGACUUCCUCGCCCGUCUUGGCCCAGCCGCUGGAAUUUUCAGCGACGGUGAUCGACGGGUCGUGGUGUCGCCAAGGAAUGCUACCUGGUUGAUCCUGCCAGUAGUCA
rnacentral:misc_RNA from 1 species